rnacentral:lncRNA from 1 species
CCCAAAAGUACUCAGCUUUAGCUGUGACUGGGGGAGGCUUCCUUUCCCUACGAAGCCUCCCGUGUCACGUCUAAUUUACAUCACGUACGGCUGUAUCUUUUUCUCCUGUGACCCCCCCAUCUUUGUCAGUUGAAUUUUCAGACCCAGACAGGGACCCUAAGAGAUUCAAGGAAAACACCGUCCUUCCCUACGUCCGCCCCCUUUCAUCCCCGACUCAUGACAUUUGGGGCCGUCUAACAAAUGAGCUGCAAUGGUUCUCGGUGCAAAAAGAGGAACAUGGGGUCAGGACAAAGGCAGCCUGAGGGUCAGGGCAGCGUGUAAAAAUCCCCAAGACGGGAGUCCUGAUAUUAUUCCUGCUUUUCCAAGCUGCAGCCUCUUCUCCGAGACGCUGGUUCAGAAGGAGUCUGUACAGGCUCUGAGCUGUCUCAUAAUCACAGCCUUUGGUCCCGGAGGGACAGGAGCCCGUAGGCGUGCGCCCAGGCUGGCUUAUGGAACUCAGGGGACUCCACACGGGGUAGGCAGCAUGAAGCUGAGGGGAAGGACCUUCCAGAGAAGCCAGACUGGGGCCCUCAUCUUAUGGCCAAAGACAGCAUCUUCAUUACCUGCCACGGUAGAUGGUAUUUGGCAUUCACUCCGCAUAAAGGACAUCAUGGCAUAUUUACUCUUUUUAUUGGGCAGGCAGAUAAGAGAAAGGCUGCCUCUGCUCCUGCCAGAGAGCCACCAUCCCCGACAGCACGCAGUCCCCUCUCUCACGGGGGGACCAGCUCCCUGAGGAGCUUUUCCUCCAGCUAAUGCCGCGAUCUCAGACGCAUCCUUCCACCUCCCGAGAGAGAGAGACAGAGAGACAGAGACAGAGAGAGAGAGAGAGGCAGGUGUUUGUUCCAGGGUGGGACAGAGGCCUGGAGUUCACCCAUAAUCCUGAGGAAAGGCAGCCUCAGGGUCUUCGAGACUAUUUUUCGUCCCCGUGGCUGCACGUGGAGCAGCUCGUGGGACCCUGCUUAGGAAGGCGGCAGAGCCAGGGCUGCCUCAUCUUUCGGAAGACAGUGGGGGCGGGGGAGGGUUACUGGAAGGUACUAGUUAUUUCUUUCUCAAGCUAACCCCCCCGCCCGGAUUUUCACAUUGCCAGUCACAGCCUUGCUCCCUGCCUGGUGAGAUAGGAAUGCUGAGCAGAGGCGAUGCUAAUGGCAGCUAAAUAUAGACGGCAGCUUCUAGACCCGCCUGCCCGGGUGCCUGCACGCACAUUAGAACAAUUACGGGAAGGAGGCUUCCGUGCUGCCUAAUUAUAACCUUGACUUCGGAAAGCAGGCACUUCUGUGGCUGAGACCAGGGCCCUCCUUCUGUCAAGCGGCAUUUCUGCCCUGGCAGCUGGACGUGCUCUGUCCUUUGUUGCCUUUGGACUUGGUGGCGCCCGGGAUGGUAUGACCUAACAGAAAAGUGUCCAUUGUCCCUCGGAAUGUGUGGGGCUCAAAGGACAUUCCUCAUGGGUGGAGAUUAAUAGGCCUCAUUAACGAGUCACAUUCCUGCCCUUCUCCAUCCCCUGUAAUUAGGGCGGCAGACAUCCCUGUCGGCCUGAGCCGGUCUUAGUUUACGCCUCCGGAGAACAGGGAGUUAUUAACAAGGCCUGUCUUUCAUGCUCAGAAGUGCUAUGUUUUUAUUUUGUUUUAUUUUUUAUUGAAGGAUAGUGGAUGUACCAUGUCGAGUUAGUUUCAAGUGUACAGCAAAGUGAUUCAGUCAUACGUACAUAUAUUCUUUUUCACAUUCUUUCCCAUUAUAGGCUAUUGCAAGAUAUUGGAUCUAGUUCCCUGUGCUAUCUAGUAUCUCGGCGUUUAUCUGUGAGUGAUAAUUUUUUUUUUUUUUUUUUUUUUUUUGCUCUUUAGGGCCGCACCUGCGACUUCUGGAUGUUCCCAGGCUAGGGACUGAAUUGGAGUUGCAGGUGCCAGCCACAGCAAUGCCCGACACAAGUCGCAUCUGCGACCUACGCCAUAGCUCACGGCAAUGCCAGAUCCUUAACCCACUGAGCAAGGCCAGGGAUUGAACCCAUGUCCUCAUGGAUACUAGUCAGGUUUGUCACUGCUGAGCCACGACAGGAACCCCUAUGGGUGAUCAAUUUUAAGGUCCCUGAUGUGCAGUCCUCAAGGAGGAAGGAGACGAUGCCCUUUGGUAGGUGUGGACCCCCCAGAGCCAGCCUGGAUAAGAGGGCUUCAGGUUGAAGAAUGAUCAGGGAGAAGCAGCUUUUCCAAACCCUCCUAAAAAGCUUUCUGCUGCCCUUACCCUCAGUGGCUCUGAGAAGCCACACCCCCUCAGCUUCUAGGGCUCCCAGGUGAUGGCACUAAGCCAGGGGGACCUGUUGGCCUUCGAAGUAUGGCCAGACUGGAGAAUCCACUGGUUCCUGCCAUCCAGUUGGCUCUGGGGCUGACCAAGAUGAGACAGUCACGGAGUUCCUGUCGUGGCUCAGUGGUUAACAAAUCCGACUAAGAACCAUGAGGUUGCGAGUUCGAUCCCUGGCCUCGCUCAGUAGGUUAAAGACCUGGUGUUGCCAUGAGCUGUGGUGUAGAUCGCAGACGCGGCUUGGAUCCCGCGUUGCUGUGGUUCUGGCGUAGGCUGGUGGUGUAGCCUGGGAACCUCCAUAUAGCAUGAUAUCAGGCCCAAGAAAUGGCAAAAAAAGACAAAAAAAAAAAGAGAGAGAGAGAGAGAGAGAUGAGAUGGUCACCUUGCCCCUGGCCUCGAAGCCUCGGGUCUUCAGGUUCAAGAGAACGUCGAACCAGGCUUGUGCAGCGGGUGCCGGCCAUCUGUUGGGCUGGUGUUGUUGGCAAAGUCUUCUUCCCAGGCGGGACCAUUUCCGGGCCCCCUGUAAAAGGCCAAAUCAGACCCUCUUCUGCAAAGAUUCUCACCUAGACUGAUGAGAAGGAAGAGAAAGCAUGGGGCAAGAGCCUCAAGGGAGUCUCGAAGAUCUGAGGUCCCCAAACUAAACUCUUUCCCCUCAACUCCACUGUCGGGAGGCACUUUCUAAUCCUCCCUCCCUUCUGAAUAUGUCUUCCUGCAGGAGGUGGCCAGGGCCAAGAGGCAGCUGGGUUUUCUCGAGCAAUCUGUUUGUGACAGGCCAACUCCAUGGGGAAAAUUCUCAUCUCAGGCUUGAUCUCUGAAGUUACUCUAUAAUUCAUCAGCUGUCUAAAAGCUAUAGAACACACCAGUUACCAUUAGGCUGUCAAAACAUUCAUUCGGCUGAUGAGAAUAGCUCAUUAGGGCUUUUAAAAACACCCGUCUUGGGCAAGAUGUUGGUAGGGUUUCUGCACGCACCCGCAAAAGUGCCUUUGCAUAUGGAUUCCUUCAGUAGCAUUUGCUGCAGAGAAUAAAGACGGGAAACGGUUGAGUAGGAGGCCCUCCGACCCAGAGAAAAGGGAUUGUGGCAAAUGAAAAGAAUGCCCAAGAUUCAGUUAGGUAGAGAUGGCGUGUGGGCAUCAAAAUCCCUCCCACCCGCAGACCAGUCCCCAGCCCACCCACAGCUUCCGACAAAGUGGGGUGAGGGAUUCUACCAUCGGCUACUAAGCAUCCUGCAAGGAGCUCCCCAGAGGAGUGGGAGGAGGUUGCAGAAAAGCGUGGAAUUCCAAGAUGGUUCAAGCAGGCUGUUCCUUGGUAACAGUGUCCCUUCAAAUGCCCAAUCAAAACCCCUGACUUUUAGGCAAAUGUAUGCCUGUUCUCAGACUCAUAAAGCACAAUAUGAGUGAAACGAGGAUAAAAAUACAAAAUGCUACGAGUUCCCGCUGCGGCUCAGCAGAUGCAAAGGUCAGAAUGAAUCCCUCCUUCCUCCGGGUUCUGGGUCUGGUUUUGUUCACACCGUUAUUCUAGCACCCGUAAGAUUCGGCCUUGGAUAAGCGACCCCUCAUGUCCACGUCCUCCAGCAGCCAAAGCCUGAAACAGCCGUGCAGAUUUUUGCAGGGUUUCAAAAACUUUUUUAGUCCUUUCCUUUAAUUUUCCUUGCCACACAGUGAACUGAUUUCCAAACAGGACUUGCUGACGAGGAUUUUAAUUUAUUUUAUUUUUUGGUCUUUUUAGAGCCACAGCCCCGCCAGAUCCGAGCCUUGUCUGCGACCUCGGCCACGCUGGAUCUUUAAUCCACUGAGCGAGGCCAGGGAUUGAACCUACCUCCUCAUGGAUACUAGUCGACCUCGUUAACCACUGAGCCGUGACGGGAACUCUGAUUACACAAGGAUUCGAAACUUAAGUUCUUGCUUUUUUCUGCCAAGUGCUCUCCGAUAGCCGUAAAACAUUUCCAACGACCUCUCCU